CGCACACAGGGCAGAUUCGGCGGCUGAAAGCUUCAGCGCGGUUCUAGUAGUGGCAGAGUGGCUUCGAGUGUUUACUUUUCACUUCGAGCUAUUUGAAAUGAGUGCACCAGCAUUGUACAGGACAACAAAACAAUUUUGUGAAGAACCCAGAACAGGACCUGAAGGAGCAAGACACAGGCCGCAUGCUCGAGUGAGAGAAACAGGGAUUCAUCUACGGAAAAUAGAAAAAGAAGUCCACGCAAUAUUUCGUCGGGAACUUCUCACCGGCACCUCUUCUGUCUGAACGUAGCUGACCCUCUGACAAACGGAGUGACAGCUGGGAUGUGUGACGUUAAAGGGGAACCUCGCGAGGAAUCUUCAAAGGAACAUGCAAUAGUGGAAGUCAAAACAGAGCCUUAUAACGUUGCAAUCUUCACUGGACAGGACCAAAUGGGACGCAAGUGUGAUUCAACAUCAGAAGGAGUGACAGCUGGGACGUGUCCUAUUAAGGAAGAACCUCGAGAGGAAUCUUCAAAUGAAGAUCCAAUCAUAGAAGUGAAAACAGAGGCUUACAAUGUUCCAGUCUUGGCAGAAGAGGAACAGAUGGGCUGUGACCCAACAUCAGAAGGUAAAUACAAAAUGGUCGAGGGGAUUUGGUCAACACCAGAUUGAAUGGCACGAUAUGGA